rnacentral:tRNA from 1 species
GCCUUCGUGGCCAAGUGGUAAGGCGUCGGUCUCGUAAACCGAAGAUCCAGGGUUCAAUCCCCUGCGGAGGCA